rnacentral:misc_RNA from 1 species
AGAAGAAGAAGAAGAAGAAAAAGGAGGAAAAGGAGCCACCGGAAAAGAAGCCGAUUGUAGAGGAGGCGACUGGAGUUUUGGAUUUGAACGUGAUGCCAGAGGUGGAAUUAGAAAAUAAUGAGAUAUAGCCGAGGCGUUAAGAUCUAAGCCGUCGUGUGUGAUGGAGGAAAACAGAUCGGGUCUCCGGAAGUUGCGCACGUGUUUUGCAUAAGCGUAGGUUAUCUUUUCCUCCACACUUUUCUUAUUUUUCUGGUAUGUUAUGUUUAAUUAUUUACUCUUAACAUUAACAACUCCACUAAUAAAUUAACUAGUUGCUUAAGAGAAUUAUAUGAGACUUUGUUUACCAUAUAACAGACG